AUUGAACGCUGGCGGCAGGCCUAACACAUGCAAGUCGAGCGAGCGGCGGACGGGUGAGUAAUGUAUGGGGACUGCCCGAUAGCGGGGGAUAACUAAUGGAAACGGUAGCUAAUACCGCAUACUAUCGGCUACCCCAUAUGGGAUUAGCUAGUAGGUGAGGUAAUGGCUCACCUAGGCGACGAUCCCUAGCUGGGCUGAGAGGAUGAUCAGCCACACUGGGACGGAGACACGGCCCAGACUACUACGGAGGCAGCAGUGGGGAAUAUUGGGCAAUGGGCGCAAGUCUGAGAGAGACAUGCCGCUUGUAUGAAGAAGGCCCUAGGGUUGUAAAGUACUUUCAGUAGGGAGGCGUUACCUACAGAAGAAGCACCGGCUAACUCCGUGCCAGCCGCCGCGGUAAUAC
rnacentral:rRNA from 1 species